GACGAACGCUGGCGGCGUGCUUAAUACAUGCAAGUCGAACGGAAAGGCCCUGCACUUGUGGGGUGCUCGAGUGGCGAACGGGUGAGUAACACGUGAGGAACCUGCCCUUUACUUUGGGAUAACUUCAGGAAACUGGGCUACUACCGGCUCAGAAGACCUUCUGGCAGGUGGGGGAUGGGAAGAUUCGGCGGUUGGGGAAGGGGGCGCGGCAUAUCAGCUUGUUGGGGGGGUUGUUGGGUUACACGGCCUUGACGGGGAGGCGGCCUGGGAGGGUGACCGGGCACAUUGGGACUGGGAUACGGCCCAGACGCAUACGGGAGGCAGCGGUGAGGAUUAUUGCACAAUGGGCGGAAGCCUGAUGCAGCAACGCCGCGUGCGGGAUGACGGCCUUCGGGUUGGAAACCGCUUUCGCCUGUAACGAAGCGUGAGUGACGGUAAUGGGUAAAGAAGCACCGGCUAACUACGUG
rnacentral:rRNA from 1 species